CCUACGGGAGGCAGCAGUAAGGAAUAUUGGACAAUGCUCGCAAGAGUGAUCCAGCCAUGCCGCGUGCAGGAAGAAUGCCCUAUGGGUAGUAAACUGCUUUUGAACUAGAGAAAACCCCAGUACGUGUACUGGGCUGAUAGUAUAGUUAGAAUAAGCAUCGGCUAACUUCGUGCCAGCAGCCGCGGUAAGACGAAGGAUGCAAGCGUUAUCCGGAUUCAUUGGGUUUAAAGGGAGCGUAGGUGGACUGAUAAGUCAGUGGUGAAAUCUCCGAGCUUAACUCGGAAAUUGCCAUUGAUACUGUUGGUCUUGAGUACAGUUGCUGUGGGCGGAAUAUGACAUGUAGUGGUGAAAUACAUAGAGAUGUCAUAGAACACCGAUUGCGAAGGCAGCUCACAAAGCUGUAACUGACACUGAGGCUCGAAAGUGCGGGGAUCAAACAGGAUUAGAUACCCUGGUAGUCCGCACCGUAAACGAUGAUUACUCGCUGCUAGGGGGCAACCUUUAGUGGCUUAGAGAAGACGANAAGUAAUACCACCGUCGGGUAGGUACGGCCGGCCGACGGUACGAAACGUAACAAAUAGUAAGUUAGUUACGGCGUUGGAGGACGUUACGACCGACGGACGACCGACCGAGGGGAGGGUAGGGAG
rnacentral:rRNA from 1 species